ACAAAAACUCACAAACAUGUCUUUUCCUCUUCCUCACCUUCGUCUUCCUCACCUUCGCCAGUUUUCUACGUUUCUCCAGUCAAUCUAAGCCAUAAAUUGUAUUGCUUUUAACUAUUAGAAUCUCUACUUACAUAAACGUUUGACGUCCUUCAUUAUCCACUCCACCUCUCUCCUUAAUUGUGUGUAGUAAGAAAAUCAAUCUGAUGCGGAGAGACAGCCAUUGAUGUGAGCCACCUCAAAAUCUCAGAUCAAGUACUGAUAUGGAUCAGAAUACUCUAACUCCAUGCUUUGUUUGAUUGCUUCCUAAUGGAUCAAAUCUGAAGAAUUUCGAGGUAUUUCAAGAGAACCAUGUCAGUCGGCUUCCUUAGUAUCUCGGAUCCUUCUUCUUCCCUGGAAAAUUGAAGCCUUUUGAAAUGUUUGAAAAAUCUUCUUAAUCAUCGAAAUUUUUGAGAAGCUACGAAAACGGCGGAGGUUAGGUCCGACAAACUGCAUUUCCGUAGAGUUAAGGAAGAUGAUGAUGAAGUCUUUGUGUUCCGGUGAACAAAUAAGACUUUAAGAUGAAGAAGACAACGAAUCCUAGGUUGGUGUAAGCAGAAGCUACAAUGAUAGCACUUUUGAGAAGAAUUGAGUAUCUGAAAGGAAAACAUAGAAUGCGGUAUGAAUGCAGGCUUGCUCCUCCUCCAUGGACUAACUUGCUGCGUUAUUUUGCUUUUAUGAAAAUCUCUCCAACGUCUUAGAAGGUCACACGUAACAAUCUUUUUUAUUUUAGUUCUGUAUUUUAUUAUUUGUUUAUUUUGCUAAACAUAGUGAUUCUUAUUGCGUAUAGUCUCUCAGAGUUAUUCUAAUAUAGUAAAGGCUUUUAAUCGGAAGACUGAUGUGUCAGGUGAUACAUAGGUGCAGGAGACGCUAACCAAAGUAGUUGAGCUCCUUCCCUAAAUGUGGAUACUGCUGAUUCGUCGCGUGAUACUACUUUGUCUUAUAGACGACCGCUUCUCAAACACAGGAAGCUUGAAUGUUGAUGAUUUGAGGGUGGCUUGAGUGUUAUGGUGAUAUGAUAUAUAUAUAAAUUUACAAUAUUUGCUGACUGAUUAAGCGUUUGUAAACUCUUUAGCAGGGAAAAGAUGAUGAGCCCAAAGACAAUAUGCCUGGAGCCAGCUAACUUUCCUCAGCUUCUUCUAAGCUAGGCAACAACAAUGUGAAGGACACACCGAGAGUUACAGAAUCUGCACUGGGGAACCUGCCUGAGGUGGAUGGCUUCGUAUCCGAGAAUCCAAAGCUCAAGACAAUUGAGCCUGCUGCUAAGAAGGCCCGUACGGGUAUAUGAAUAUGGAAGCCUUUUCUAUGACGUUGUUGUCGAUUAUUUAAUCAAAUAAUGCUUUGGUGUUUUGCCAUUCUAAAACUCUUACGUAUGCUGGUUGAGUUCUUUGCACUAAUAAUAGAAGAAUAAUUAAUAAUCUGUAUUUGUAAGAACUGUUUUGGUUUUGCUCUCUUUAAAGUGGAGAACAAACGUAGAACCCAAAAAGUAUCCAUUUCAUAACUUUUUUUAA